ACGCUCGACACCUACGGGGGCAGCAGUUAGGAAUAUUGGGCAAUGGAGGAAACUCUGACCCAGCAACGCCGCGUGAAGGAAGAAGGUUUUCGGAUUGUAAACUUCUGAUCUAGGGGAAGAAGGAAGUGACGGUACCCUAGGAGAAAGCCACGGCUAACUACGUGCCAACAGCCGCGGUAAUCUGAGCGGGCUGGCAAGGC
rnacentral:rRNA from 1 species